GACAGAGGUCCCGAGCGUUAGGCGGAAUCACUGGGCUUAAAGCGUGUGUAGGCGGAUCGUUAAGUGCCUUGUGAAAUCCCAUGGCUUAACCAUGGAACUGCUUGGCAUACUGGCGAUCUUGAGCCACUUAGGGGCAACCGGAACAAAUGGUGGAGCGGUGAAAUGCGUAGAUAUCUGGAGGAACACCGGUGGCGAAGGCGGCAUCCUGGACCAACACUGACACUGAGGAGCGAAAGCCAGGGGAGCAAACAGG
rnacentral:rRNA from 1 species